rnacentral:rRNA from 1 species
AGGGUUUGAUCCUGGCUCAGAAUGAACGCUGGCGGCGUGGCUAAGACAUGCAAGUCGAACGAACCAUUUAUGGUUAGUGGCGAAAGGGUUAGUAAUGGUUAGGUAACGUACCCCAUGCUUCAGGAUAGCGUCAGUUACUUCGGUAACUUUCCGAAAGGGGCGGUAAUACUGAAUAAUAUCAUAAGUUGAUAGACUUAUGAUCAAAGAUUUAUCGACGUGGGAGCGGCCUAAUUCCUAUCAGCUUGUUGGUGAGGUAAUGGCUCACCAAGGCUAUGACGGGUAGCGGGACUGAGAGGUUGGCCCGCAACAUCGGGACUGAGACACUGCCCGGACCUCCACGGAGGGCUGCAGUAACGAAUAUUGGGCAAUGGGCGAAAGCCUGACCCAGCGACGCCGCGUGUAGGAGGAAGUCCUUCGGGAUGUAAACUACUUUUCGGAGUAAGAAAGUCUUCGGAUUGAUCUAAUCCGGAAUAAGUCACGGCUAACUUCGUGCCAGCAGCCGCGGUAAUACGAAGGUGGCAAGCGUUAUUCGGUAUCACUGGGCUUAAAGCGUGUGUAGGUGGAAAAGUAAGUGUUUUGUGAAAGCCCUCGGCUCAACCGAGGAAUUGCUUAGCAUACUGCUUUUCUUGAGGCAAGUAGGGGUACGUGGAACUCUUGGUGGAGCGGUGGAAUGCGUAGAUAUCAAGAGGAACGCCGAUGGUGAAGACAAUGUACUGGACUUGUCCUGACACUCAGACACGAAAGCGUGGGGAGCAAACAGGAUUAGAUACCCUGGUAGUCCACGCUGUAAACGAUGCCUACUAGGUCGUGGGAGUUCUGACGCUUUCACGGCCGAAGCAAAAGUGUUAAGUAGGCCGCCUGGGGAGUACGGUCGCAAGCUAAAACUCAAAUGAAUUGACGGGGGCUCACACAAGCGGUGGAGCAUGUGGAUUAAUUCGAAACAACGCGCAGAACCUUACCUGGGUUUGACAUGCUUGGAUGCCCUUCUGGAAACAGAAGUAAGCUGCCCUUCGGGGUGAAACUUGCACAGGUGCUGCAUGGCUGUCGUCAGCUCGUGUCGUGAGAUGUCGGGUUUAGUCCUUUAACGAGCGAAACCCUUACCGUUAGUUGCCAGCGCGUCAUGGCGGGGACUCUAACGGGACUGCCGGUGUUAAACCGGAGGAAGGUGGGGAUGACGUCAAGUCCUCAUGGCCUUUAUGCCCAGGGCUUCACACGUGCUACAAUGGUCGAUACAGAGCGACGCAAGACCGCGAGGUGGAGCAAAUCGCAAAAAGUCGGCCCCAGUUCGGAUUGCAGGCUGGCAACUCGCCUGCAUGAAGGUGGAAUCGCUAGUAAUCGCGUGUCAGCUAUAACGCGGUGAAUGUGUUCCUGAGCCUUGUACACACCGCCCGUCAAGUGAUGGGAGUUGGGAGUACCCGAAGUCGGAUUGCUAACCCAGUUUACUGGGAGGCGUCUGCCGACGGUAAGCCCGAUGACUGGCACUAAGUCGAAACAAGGUA